UAAGGAAUAUUGGUCAAUGGACGCAAGGGUGACCCAGCAACGCCGCGUGGAGGAUGAAUGUCGUAAGAUUGUAAACUCCUGUUAGAGGGGAAGAAUAGUACCGGUUGGACCGGUAUAUGACUGUACCCUCAGAGAAAGCCCCGGCUAACUACGUGCCAGCAGCCGCGGUAAUACGUAGGGGGCAAGCGUUGUCCGGAUUUACUGGGUGUAAAGGGCGCGCAGGCGGGAUAAAAAGUCAGUGGUGAAAUCCUACAGCUUAACUGUAGAACUGCCUUUGAUACUUUUAUUCUUGAGUUCGGGAGAGAGAGACGGAAUUCCAGGUGUAGUGGUGAAAUACGUAGAUAUCUGGAAGAACACCAGUUGCGAAGGCGGUCUCUUGGUCCGACACUGACGCUGAGGCGCGAAAGCGUGGGGAGCAAACA
rnacentral:rRNA from 1 species